UGGGGAAUAUUGCACAAUGGGCGCAAGCCUGAUGCAGCCAUGCCGCGUGUGUGAAGAAGGCCUUCGGGUUGUAAAGCACUUUCAGCGAGGAGGAAGGCAGUCGUGUUAAUAGCACGAUUGAUUGACGUUACUCGCAGAAGGAGCACCGGCUAACUCCGUGCCAGCAGCCGCGGUAAUACGGAGGGGGCAAGCGUUAAUCGGAAUUACUGGGCGUAAAGCGCACGCAGGCGGUUUGUUAAGUCAGAUGUGAAAUCCCCGCGCUUAACGUGGGAACUGCAUUUGAAACUGGCAAGCUAGAGUCUUGUAGAGGGGGGUAGAAUUCCAGGUGUAGCGGUGAAAUGCGUAGAGAUCUGGAGGAAUACCGGUGGCGAAGGCGGCCCCCUGGACAAAGACUGACGCUCAGGUGCGAAAGCGUGGGGAGCAAACA
rnacentral:rRNA from 1 species